rnacentral:rRNA from 1 species
CCUACGGGAGGCAGCAGUAGGGAAUUUUCGUCAAUGGGCGCAAGCCUGAACGAGCAAUGCCGCGUGAACGAGGAAGGUCUUCGGAUCGUAAAGUUCUGUUGAAGGGGAAAAAGAGCGGAGAGAGGAAAUGGUCUCCGAUUGAUAUUACCCUUCGAGGAAGUCACGGCUAACUACGUGCCAGCAGCCGCGGUAAUACGUAGGUGGCGUGCGUUAUCCGGUAUGAUUGGGCGUAAAGGGUGCGUAGGCGGUCUGCUAAGUCUGGAGUGAAAGGUACCGGCUCAACCGGUAUAGGCUCUGGAAACUGGCGGGCUAGAGAGCAGGAGAGGGCGGUGGAACUCCAUGUGGAGCGGUAAAAUGCGUAGAUAUAUGGAAGAACACCAGUGGCGAAGGCGGCCGCCUGGCCUGUUACUGACGCUGAGGCACGAAAGCGUGGGGAGCAAAUAGGAUUAGAUACCCGAGUAGUC